rnacentral:rRNA from 1 species
CGCGAUUCGCCCUUCGGGGUGCAGCAGGCGCGAAAACUUUACAAUGCUGGAAACAGCGAUAAGGGGACCUCGAGUGCCAGGAUACAAUCUUGGCUGUCGCGAUGCCUAAAAAGCAUUGCAUAGCAAGGGCCGGGCAAGACCGGUGCCAGCCGCCGCGGUAACACCGGCGGCUCGAGUGGUAACCGCUAUUAUUGGGUCUAAAGGGUCUGUAGCCGGCCGGAUAAGUCUUUUGGGAAAUCCAGCUGCUCAACAGUUGGGCUUUCAGAAGAUACUGUUCGGCUCGAGACCGGGAGAGGUGAGAGGUACUUCAGGGGUAGGGGUGAAAUCUUGUAAUCCUUGAAGGACCACCAGUGGCGAAGGCGUCUCACCAGAACGGAUCUGACGGCAAGGGACGAAAGCUAGGGGCACGAACCGGAUUAGAUACCCGGGUAGUCCUAGCCGUAAACGAUACUCGCUAGGUGUCAGCCACGGUGCGACCGUGGUUGGUGCCGUAGGGAAGCCGUGAAGCGAGCCACCUGGGAAGUACGGCCGCAAGGCUGAAACUUAAAGGAAUUGGCGGGGGAGCAC